rnacentral:ncRNA from 2 species
AACUUAGAAGGACGCGAUGAGUAAUUACCUGUAUGUGGGCACUUGGGUAGUUAGGAGCAAGUAGUGCAACCGGCCAGAUUUGUA